rnacentral:rRNA from 1 species
CAGGGAAUCUUGCGCAAUGGGCGAAAGCCUGACGCAGCAACGCCGCGUGGGGGAUGAAGGCCUUCGGGUUGUAAACCCCUUUCAGGAGGGAAGAAAUUGACGGUACCUCCAAAAGAAGGACCGGCCAACUACGUGCCAGCAGCCGCGGUAAUACGUAGGGUCCGAGCGUUAUCCGGAAUCAUUGGGCGUAAAGAGCUCGUAGGCGGUUCAGCAAGUCGGCUGUGAAAGUCCGGGGCUCAACCCCGGAAUUGCAGUCGAUACUGCUGUGACUCGAGUCCGGUAGAGGAGAAUGGAAUUCCCGGUGUAGCGGUGAAAUGCGCAGAUAUCGGGAGGAACACCAGUAGCGAAGGCGGUUCUCUGGGCCGGCACUGACGCUGAGGAGCGAAAGCGUGGGGAGCAAACAGGAUUAGAUACCCUGGUAGUCCACGCUGUAAACGUUGGAUACUAGGUGUGGCGGUCUUACCAACGACUGCCGUGCCGAAGCUAACGCAUUAAGUAUCCCGCCU